GCAAAGACCACGGUUCCCCGGCUUGGACGAUGCCCCAGGGGGGUGAGUUGGCACUACAGUGUUCUGCCAAGUGUUCAUGCUGCAUGCACUUUGCACAAGUGAGCCAUACACAGCACCUCUGUGGUGCAUGGCGAUACCUCUCACACUAAAGACGCGCAGAGGUUUCGGAUCGUGAUAAAGAAGGGCGCUAACAAGAGCAGCUUACACGGACUGUGUGUGAACAUAAAAAAUUAAAGCAGGAAUUGGACAUUUGCCGACUCAUCUUACAAAUCCCGGGAAGUUAUUGAAAUGACCGAAGCACAUGCACAAAACCGAGGGCGGUGAUUGUUAUUUGAAACAAACGAAAACACUAUAUGCCCGCAAUUCUAUCAAGCUAC